UGGUCUAUUUUUAUUAUUUUUCUUUGGAAAGAAAAAUAUUUUAUUUUAUUAUUUUUUCCGUCUUCCCCUGCCUUCCACCAAACCUCUUCCACCAUGCGAUAUACACGUAUUUCUCCGCCGAUUUCGCCGCGAAAAUGCGGAUUUUCUGGAUAUUUUUGGACUCAUUUUGGUGGAAAUCUGGGUUUCUUGAGGUAAUUAAUUCGGUGUUUCUUGGAGGAGGUGACGGAGGGUUUAGGGUUUGGGCGGGGAUGGUGGCGAGGAUGAUAAGGUGGCGGCGGUGGCCGCUGCUAAUGUCCAAG
rnacentral:lncRNA from 1 species